GUGUUCAUAUUUUCUAAUUAUUUAAAAUAUAUAAUAAAAUUAAAUAGAUCUAAUUCAUUUAUUGCAAUGAAUUACAUUAUUAGAUAUAAUGUUGUCAACUUCUUCCCAUUACCACAAUCUCGAAAAAAGGCUCACAUCUAAUAAGCUAGUUAGUGAGGCAAUAAUUCUUUAAGACGAUGAUUAGUAAUAGGUCUUAGAAGAUGAUCAACUACACAUGUAUUAAGACACGAUCCAGACUCUUACUGGAGGUGAGAAGGAAAAAUAUUUUACAAAGGGGGAAAGCCUAACAGAGCAUUAUUGUAUGGAGGUAGAAGAUACAUGGAUUGUGAAUUCUUUUUCCCAAAGAAGAAGCAAUGAUGAUAUUUGUGUCAACAACUGCGAUAAUACAUAGGAUGCAAC
rnacentral:ncRNA from 1 species